AUGACAGAGGACAGAAUCAUCAAAAGUGUCCAGGAGCAACUGUCUGAUCAUAAUAUCCUGUCCUCUUGCCCACCUGAGCUGACUGUUGGUCUUAUCAAGGUGGUGGUCGAACAGCUUAACUCUGCCCUCUCUGCGACCAUCAGCAGAGCCAUUUCAGGGCGGUCCUCCCCUAUUUCUUCUGGUACCCAGGCCGCUGAACAAAUGGUCAACAUGGUCCAGAAAUGUUUUGAUGAUCACACCACCCCAGAGGACCAGAGCUCUACCUCUGUAUUAGAGUCAUGCAUUCCACCUGCAACAGAAGAAGUGAUGACUGUUAUCGCAGAGAUGGUGGGUGAAUUGGAAAAAGAAGAUCCGGAAUUGGCUAAGGUUUUUCGAGAAGUGGCCGUGAAAGUUAAAAUGUUGGCAUCUGGCAGUGACCUUGUAGUGGAGCACCUGGAUGUUGAAGACUCUCCUGUUCCAGAGGAGCUGAACAUAAUAUGUACAUCUUGCAAAGCAAUGAUGCAAAAUCUUGGCACUCUGUUUAGUGUGAAGUUCAAGACCAAAGCCUCAAAGGCUGUGAGUGAAAUUCUUGUGAGAAGGUUAAUGAGCGAUAUCUCUGGUAUGGUUCAACCUUCUCAUUCGUUUAGUACCACUCCAAGCUUGAUGAAUGCAUCUAGCCCAUCUGACAGGAUCCUUGAUUCUGCGGCCACUGAGCUCAUACAGACCAAAGUAGAAUCUGAGGCAUCAAAAAUAAUUGAUAACUUUGUUGAAGAUGUCAAGGACAUUGUGCAGUAUGCUGAAUUAGAUCAGCCAACAAGCACCCAGAGAGAUACCCAAGUGGGACACUGUACGACAAAGCGGAAACCCUUCCAUGCAGCUCGUAGACUCUGCGAGAGACUUCAGGCAAAGCUGGAGACAUUGUUCCUCAGAAUGGGUGGAGCUCCAGUCCAAGGGGAAGAACUUAUGGAAAAAGCUGACUCCAGUGCUGUGCUUCUGGAGCAUACUGACUCCAGUGAUCUGCCUGUUUCAAUCCUGAGCUUGCCUUCCCCAUGUAGGAGUGAAUCCCCUAUAUCAGAACGUAGUUCAUCUUCUUUAUCUGAUGGAUGUGAUUCAACUGACUCUGUAGGAGAGAAAACACCAGAGCAACCUGAAACCAGUAAGAGUGAGGCAAUACUGCAAGUGGUCAACUCAACAGGACUUGGUUCUCUCCGUAAAUGCCAAAGUGAGAACUCUCAACCAUUACUGUCUCUCUGUGAUUCCAACAUGGUGCCCUGCACCAAAGAGGUCUUGUCCCAGAUUGUGACCAUGUAUAGGUCAGAGGUGGCAGAUUUGGAAUGCACAUCAUCUGUUGCAGAGGGUUCCUCUUACAACUCCCUUGAAGUCUGUGGCUUUUUGGACAGUGUCAUGUCUUAUCUAGAAGACAUGCCUGUGUCUGGUUCUUCAUGGUUGGAAGGAUUAAGAGAUACUCCAGCCUCAGUCAUUGAGAAACUCUCCAGUGAGGAGUUCCAGAUGAACGCUACCAACGAAGUGCGAAAAAUACUGAUCAAAUCAGUCAGUAGCUUUCCCAGCAAAGUCAGUUCCAGCCAGACAGAUUCUCAGAUGUUGCCAGCAAAAUCAACAAUUUCCUUAAGGCAUACAGAUAUAACUGCUUUUGAAAUCGUUGGAUCAAUUACAAAUGACAUGAAGAGCCUUUUCCCACCCACAGAGUCUUCUACUACUCUAUGGCAGGCAGACUCUAUGCUUCAACAGAGUGAUGAGAAAACCUCAGAGUACACUGAGGCCACACCCAAAGGCUCACAGUCUGGUUUGGAAGUAUCUGAGAAGAAGAUCUGGACAACUGCAAAGACUAUUUACCACAAUGUGAAGACAAAGAUGAGGAAUUAUUUUACAUGGCAAAAUCCAGUCAAAGCAACAACGGCUCAAGCCAAAAAGACCCUCAGCCAUAUUCUGGUUUCAAUUCAGAAAGAGCUGUCAAAAUCGGACCAAACGGUGACUGCGCUUUCACAAAUAGAGAAUGUGGUUGGAAUGAUGCUGAAGGAUGUUGAAAGGGUAAGCAGUGAAUGUGGUGAGGAACUGAUCUAUCAAGCGCCACAGCGUUCUUCCUCCUCGUUGUCAUCCUCAUCUGCCAGAUCAAAGAAGUCAGAGUGGGAAUUUUCACUCCCUGGCACUCCCAUCUCUUCUGAUUUACCAGAGAGUAUUACUCAGCCCAUUGUGAGAUGCUCAGUCAUCGACAUGGGCAAAUCUACUAAGCCAAAAACAUUGGUGUGUGAUGCCAGGGAAAGCAUGUCUGCAAUAGUGGAUACCAUCAUAAAGGAGGUACAUCCAGAGGAAGAAGGGGAGGUUGCAUUCCAACCUGAUCUAACAGCUGCAAUAGCAAGACUGGAGGAGCUCAUAUCUCAGGGUAGGAUUGGUGCUCUCUCACGUGAUCUUACUCACCAAGUCAACCGCAUCAUUUCUGAGAGCAACUUGACCCCUCUGGUUCUGACAGUGGCGGCUGGAAAGAGUGCAUCCGAUACAGUCCUUACUGAGCUGAAGAGGAAUGACAAGACGGUGGGGAAGCCCACAGCUUACAAGCUGGUUCAGCUUUUUGCAGAGGAGUCUGUGAAGCGCCUCUUGCUUCCUAGCCUUGUGCCCUCUACAGCUUCAAUGAGUUUGGCUCAGGGAGUUAGUGUGCCGGCUAGCGUAUCUGAAGAUAGGAUUUCAUGUUAUUUUUCUACAUCAGCAUUUAGUGACACAGUCAGCCUGUUUACCAAAGUAAUGGUAAGCCAGGUCAUGGACUCUGUGGUUUCUGAUGCACAAAGCAGAGGGUCAUCUCCAACCGGAACUGUAACUGAUAUAGGCAGUCUACUGAGUGGUAAGUCCUACCCUCUGCCAUCUUUCUCCGCCAUCAGCAUGACAACAAGUGGGACCUCCAAUGCUGCACGAGGCUUUGAGGCCAACAUAGAUGCUGAGGAAAGGGAUACCAUCAGUUGUUUCGGUGUACCUCAGAGCAUUGUUUGUGAUCAGAAUUCAACCAGCCCGGAUGUUGCUUCGCUUUCAACCCCAUCCACUGACAACUUAGUCAGUGAUGAUGACUUCACCGGCCUCAUCAGCAUGUUAGUGGUGAGACUUCUGUCAAAAAUCCAAACCCAAACUGAUCUGUACCCAACUGACGUCACACGCACGUCACAAGACCUGAUUCCAAAAGUUAUAGCUGCCUUCUGUGCAUGGUCAGGCUGCUCUGAGACCCAAGCUUAUCCCAAGAACCUGAAGAGUCACAAAGUAUACAGCACCGUCUACAAACAUCUGUUGAAGGAGUUUGGCUCAGAGAAAAUACUCCAACUGGCCGUGUCGACUCAGGACUCCACUUUCAAUAGGAUUCUUGUGAAGUCAUUGAGCAAGGAGCUUCUCCACAGUUGUAACGAGGCAUCAAGAGCAGCCUCAAGAACAUCUUUCGAAGCCACCAGGCCAGAAGCUCUUCUCAUGGCUGAAGAUGUGAAGGCUACCAGAGGGAAGCUGUCUUUCCUACAAAGGCUUGCCAGACUGAAAUUCAACUUAAAGCCAUUCAUGAUGGGAAACAAGAAGGAUUCCAAUAAGAAAUCCCGCCAUUCUGAAUCAAAG
rnacentral:lncRNA from 1 species